rnacentral:misc_RNA from 1 species
AAAAAAGUUCAGUGUUCAUAACUUUAUAAGGUCAUGAGCAGGGAAGGAUGGGGUCACGGUAGUGCAUCCUAAUACUGAUCCUAGGGCCCGAAGCUUAAGCCUUUUUUAAAUGAAAAAAAGGAGAAAGAAAAUCAUGAAGUUGAAAAACGAUAUUGACACGUACUCUCUGAUACUGGUACUGGAACUGUUGGUUCCAAUUGGGGUCCGUCUCACUGGGGACUCGAACACACUAUCGUGAAUAUCUCUGCUGUUUCUGCAGUGUUUCACACUGUCUGUAAGUACUCACAGUUCAUUACCUCUGCCACUCUCAUCUUUCUCUCUCUUCCAUGAUUGAUAAUUCUGCAACUUCUUCAACCCUCACACAUCUAAACAUUGAAAUGAAAACCUUCUCUUUGCUUUUAUUGCCCCCAACCUCUCUACUAUAGCUACUAGUCGCCAUGAAAACCCAGCGCCCAAAGCUCAAAACCCAACCUCGUCCCUUCUUCUCUUGCGGUUUCUUUCGCCACUGCGCCCAAACUGCUCUCAGUCCUACUGCUCCUCACUCCCCUUCUCUUCCUCUCUCAUCCUCUGCCCCUCCACCUUUACCCCCUUCACCCCCUCCUCCACCAGCCUCGCUGACAUUAGUUUUACCACCUCAGCCGCAAGCUCAACGCCCGCUCUUAAAAGCUCCACAAGCCGAAUCCUCCUCGUCUUCCUCUUCCUCUGCUUCCCAGAGCUUUACCCAGUGGAGGUUCCCUCUUGUAAUCUCUCCUCUCCACCAACACUCACCUCCCGAGUCUCUCGCACAACCCAAAACUGACCCAAGAUCCGAAUCCCUCCCAUCUGUUACACAACCACUCCCGCCGCCGAUUCAUUCUUCUGAACUCCAAGAAAUCUUCCAUGUAGCGGAGCUCCAACUCAGUAGUGAGUCUGAAUCAGAGAAGCUCGCUGCUCUUCACCUAUUAGAACGCUCACU